UACGAAGGGGGCUAGCGUUGCUCGGAAUCACUGGGCGUAAAGGGUGCGUAGGCGGGUCUUUAAGUCAGGGGUGAAAUCCUGGAGCUCAACUCCAGAACUGCCUUUGAUACUGAGGAUCUUGAGUUCGGGAGAGGUGAGUGGAACUGCGAGUGUAGAGGUGAAAUGCGUAGAGAUCGUAAGGAAGACCAGUGGCGAAGGCGGGUCUCUGGACAGUUCCUGACACUGAGGCACGAAGGCCAGGGGAGCAAACGGG
rnacentral:rRNA from 1 species